rnacentral:misc_RNA from 1 species
UAAGUGAACUAUGGGGGCAAAAUUGAUCAAUUUAGUAGGGGCAACGUUAGAAAUAACCUAAUUAUAUAAAGUAUUGCCAAGGGGCAGUGGGGGCAAAUGCCUCUUUGUGCCCAUGGUAGAUCUGCCCUGAAUCUGAAAUAUUAAUGGCAUUUUUAUGCUGUUACUCAAGAAUGAGUGAAUAAGUUGACCUUGUGCCAGCUGAAAGGUGCGGCCCAUCCAUAUAAUUGGAGGGAUUUAUGUUGCUUCAUUGAAAUUCUCAAAAUAGACUAAAAUUGAUGGAUCCUGAUGGUGCGCCAUCCCUGUCCUGUUACCACUUAAGGAAGUUAAUGUUUGUUAUUUUUUUUUUCUCUGUUUGAUGCUUUACAUGAAUUUGCAUAUAUUGCAUUUUUAAUUUAAAUGUUAUUUUCAAGAUGUAUUGUAUUUCCAGUAUAUUUCUCUGCUGUAUUAUUUCCCAAUUCCCAUCCAUUAUUAAGCCAGGCCCUCUCCAUUAUGGGCCUUUCAAUCUGAGUCUGAGAUGCUCUCCAUUUAGAAGCCACCUGAUUUGGGAUAUGCAUAUGCCACUAUAGUUUACUAGUUAAUUUGCCAAUGCAGUCAUGAUUCAUAUCAUCUCAGGUAACCUAGAAUAAAUAUAGAAUUGGGAUCAUGCUAGACUAUUAUAAUGCUGUUUCAACUUUAAUACUUGAGAAUUGUACAGGCUAACGUUAUUUUACCUUUUCAAACAAUUUUUCAGGUUGCUUAAGAGGUUGGAUUUUCCAGACAUGAAGUUUAGCUUGUAC